rnacentral:rRNA from 1 species
UACGUAGGGUGCGAGCGUUAAUCGGAAUUACUGGGCGUAAAGCGUGCGCAGGCGGUUUUGUAAGCCAGAUGUGAAAUCCCCCGGGCUUAACCUGGGAAUGGCAUUUGGGACUGCAAGGCUUGAGUGCGGCAGAGGAGACUGGAAUUCCUGGUGUAGCAGUGAAAUGCGUAGAUAUCAGGAGGAACACCGGUGGCGAAGGCGGGUCUCUGGGCCGAUACUGACGCUGAGGAGCGAAAGCGUGGGGAGCGAACAGGA